UUUUUUUUUUUUUAAUUUAUUCUUGGCCAUAGAUACAAGUCUUUCAGCCGAAAACAUGGAUAAUUUUUAAAAUAUUUCUAAAUUACAAAGAAAAAAUAAUCUUCUUAAAUUAAAUUAAAAAUAAUAAUCUACUUAUUUGCAAUACAAUACUCUUAACUUAACACCUUUUUAUAUUUUUUCUACCGUGUUACAUAUAUAUUUAUACAAUGUCUUAUAAAACUUCUUGUUGGCAAGUAGUUCCUGAACUUAGCGGGGAACACUUUGUUGAAUUUCUUCACAUUCACUUAAUUCGCUUACUAAAAUUAAACGUUGGAUAUUAAAAUUUGCACAUUUCAGAACAAUAUGAUCCAGAUCAGCAACUUCAGCAUCACAGUAUUUACAUCGGCUAUCGUUAUAUACAUUUAUUCUGUUCAAGUGAGCUGGCGUUAAGCAGUGUCCUAAUCGCAUGCGAGUUAUAGUUGUUAUAAAUCUUCUAUUAAUAUAUUCACAAUUAUUAAACCAUGGUUUUCUUCGUAAUUCUUUUUGGAUAUCUGCAUACCACUUGCCUUUAUUUUCUAGGGUUAGUGUCCAGUAGUCAUUCCACAAUUUACGGUUGAUCUCUUUGAUGUGGCUGUGGUAAUCUGAAAAUGGAACCUUCACAAGCUCUGUCUGGUCAUCAUAAUGUUCCCAAUGUGUUGCAGCGUCAGCAAUUUCAUUUCCGGUUAUGCCACUGUGCGAAGGCACCCAUACGAACUCUACAUUAAUAAACUUAUCCAGUAGACUUCCACCUAUCAAGGAAGAAGCAGAAAUAUUACAUGAAAUUGACUGAGAGACCCUGUGAUCUACUACCAGUUUCUUAUGUAAAUGACUAUUUGAUGAAAUGAUCUUCAAGAAAAAUCUCUCAGCCAACAUCAACCUACGUAACAUCAAGGGUGGUAUACAUGUCUCAACUUCCAAUGAGUUAAUUGGUGUGGAACGCAUGGCUCCACAAAUAAGUCUCAGUCCCAUAUUUUGGAUUACAUCCAAUUUUCUUAGUAAGGUGGUACUGGCAUUCAUAUAAGCUAAACUGCUGUAAUCAAAAUGACUUCUUACUAUACUUUUGUAUAACAUACUCAUAACUUUGGGGUCAGAUCCCCAAAAACUACCUGCUAAAUGGCGCAAUAUGUUUAUGCCAUUCAGUGCUUUGCUGCAUAUAUGUUUGAUAUGAUCAUCAAACUUUAAUUGAUCAUCAAUAAUAAUCCCUAGGAAUUUAUGUUGUUUAACAAUAGGAAUUUCUACAUUGUUGUACAAAAUUUUCACAUUAAAAUUAGUGUUUCGAUUUUUACUAACAAUUAGAACUGAACUUUUUCCAGGACUUAUUUCUAACUUAAGUUUAUUGUGGUAAUAGUAAUACAAUUGAUUCAAAGCAGUAUUUAUUUUGACCUUAGCUAUUUCUAUAUUUUGAUGUAUGCUAUACAAAAGUAAGUCAUCUGCAAAUUGUAAUAUUUUAACAUCUGGUACAUUUACAAAUUUUAAUAUUUCAGAGGUGUAUAAAUUAUAAAGUAAAGGAGACAGAGUGGCUCCUUGCAUUGUGCCCUUAUUAACAGUCUUAGGGCCAUGUAAUUUAUUGUUGUAUUUUACAAACACAGUUCUAUUGUUCAAAAAGUUGUAAAGCCAUUUAAGUAUAUGACCUGGGAUACCAAUAUCAUGGGAUAUUUGAAUAAGUUCCUCUAUAUUUACAUUGUCAAAAGCCCCUUUUAUGUCUAAAAAUACACAAAUUGCAUUGGGUGACUUAAUUUAACCUGACCUAUAUCUGAUAAUAAAGAAACAAAGCUUUCAGAGCAACUUUUACCUUUUCUGAAGCCAAACUGAAUAGAAGGGAUUAAAUUUUGUGAUUCAACAAAAUAAUCUAGUCUUGUCUUUAACAUAUUUUCAAAAGCUUACCUAAACAAGAUGAUAAAGAAAUAGGUCUAUAAGAAGAUGCAUCGUUUAAAGGUUUAUUCGGUUUUAAAAUUGGAAUGACACAUUGUGUCUUCCAAGGCUCUGGUAUAGUUAAUUCAAGCCAUAAUUUAUUAUAAAUAUUAAGUAACGUAGUCUGUGCAUUUAAAUGUAACUGUUUGAUUAAAAUGUAAGGUAUAUCAUCCAAUCCGGGUGUAGUAUCUCUCCUAGACUUUAAAGAUGUUUGUAAUUCCUCCAUAGUAAAAUUGUUCUUGAGAAAAAUAUUUAAACUGUUAUCUGUAGCAUUUUUAAACAAAUAUUCAAGCCUACUCUCAUCUGUUUCAGUAGAAUCUGCUAA